CUACGGGAGGCUCCAGUGGGGAAUAUUGGACAAUGGGGGAAACCCUGAUCCAGCAAUGCCGCGUGUGUGAAGAAGGCCUGCGGGUUGUAAAACACUUUCGGUUGGGAGGACUGCUUCUAGCACUAAUAUUGUUGGAAGUUGACGUUACCUUCAGAAGAAGCACCGGCUAACUCCGUGCCAGCAGCGCGCGGUAAUACGGAGGGUGCAAGCGUUAAUCGGAAUUACUGGGCGUAAAGCGCGCGUAGGCGGCUAGAUCAGUCGGGUGUGAAAGCCCCGGGCUUAACCUGGGAACUGCAUCCGAUACUGUCUAGCUUGAGUACAGGAGAGGAGAGUGGAAUUCCACAUGUAGCGGUGAAAUGCGUAGAUAUGUGGAGGAACACCAAUGGCGAAGGCAGCUCUCUGGCCCGAUACUGACGCUGAGGUGCGAAAGCGUGGGGAGCAAACAGGAUUAGAUACCCGAGUAGUC
rnacentral:rRNA from 1 species